GACGAACGCUGGCGGCGUGCUUAACACAUGCAAGUCGAACGGAAAGGCCCUGCUUUUGUGGGGUGCUCGAGUGGCGAACGGGUGAGUAACACGUGAGUAACCUGCCCUUGACUUUGGGAUAACUUCAGGAAACUGGGGCUAAUACCGGAUAGGAGCUCCUGCUGCCUGGUGGGGGUUGGAAAGUUUCGGCGGUUGGGGAUGGACUCGCGGCUUAUCAGCUUGUUGGUGGGGUAGUGGCUUACCAAGGCUUUGACGGGUAGCCGGCCUGAGAGGGUGACCGGCCACAUGGGGACUGAGAUACGGCCCAGACUCCUACGGGAGGCAGCAGUGGGGAAUAUUGCACAAUGGGCGGAAGCCUGAUGCAGCAACGCCGCGUGCGGGAUGACGGCCUUCGGGUUGUAAACCGCUUUCGCCUGUGACGAAGCGUGAGUGACGGUAAUGGGUAAAGAAGCACCGGCUAACUACGUG
rnacentral:rRNA from 1 species